ensembl:lncRNA
AUGGAACUACCUUCUGUGAUGGGGAGCUACAUACAGCUGGCGGCUGUAGGAAACGGCAAACGUCGGCCAGCUGCUGUGGGAAGCUCGAUUCGGAAAGGAGGGUGUUCCUACGAGGGGUACACGGCGAGGAGGAGAGUGAGGUCAGCCAAGGAGGAGCUCAGAGCCAACUGCAGGCCACGCUCUUCCGCUCCCUGGUUGAGGAGGUCAGCCUUAGCUGCCCGGAUGUUCAGCUACCUGGAACGCCGGGUUCCCGCAGAGCACACGGGGCUGCCCCAGAAGACAGAAUUUCCCCCCUGGGGCUCAGCGGCCACAGAGAAUCGCCCUGGUGGGGGGUGCUGUUCCCGACACUUCCCUUUUUGCUCCUUUUAAAAAUAAACAAUGAGAUGCAAGCCGAGAAAAGUUCUGUUUGUUAACCUCUAGCCCCAAACAAGAAGGAAACAGAGCCGGGUGAGCCUGUGGUUCAGACCAGCUCCAGAGUCCGGCAGGCCAAGUCCAGCACCGUCCUCUGGGUCUGUGUGUGAAGUUUCUGGAAUCCGGUGCCUGUGUAUGGCGGGGUGGGGGCUGUUUUCCUGCCCCCUUCCUCCUCCCCUCCUCACCUCUGUGAAGAAGAGCUGGAAGCCUUGUGAGCACAAGAAAGAUGGCCGUGGUCCUGGAAGGGCAGGCUGGGUGAGGAGCCAUUGCUCUCUGACCCCGUGGACCUGCAGGGAUAGAACCCCUCCGCAGUCAGGCCAGGACAGAGGAGUUAGGAAGGACACCAACAGCCCGUAGAAGAAAGUUUGAGCCUUUUUUGGAGGCAAGAGAGGGAGUCUCCAGGUCAAGGAGGGCUGUGCAGAGAAGACAGUCGUGGGAAGAGACCAGGUGCCCCUUCCCUCGUGGACCAGGGGCUGAGGACUUAGUGUGCUCAGUGAGGCGGGGGAGGCACCGUCUCUGCGACCCCAGAGUUGAAGUUCUAGCAGGAGAGACAGACGAUGAGGGAUAAGCCAUACACCCAGCUCGGAAUGCCAUAGCGGGAGAGUCUUCCACACCUCGACUCAGGGUUUGGAGCCAGAGAGAAUCAGGGUGGUGUUUUAGACGGGAUGGCCAGGGAAGGCCUGUAUGAGGAGGUGGCAUUUCAACUCAAAACUUGAAGCAGAAGAACUGUGAGUGCAGAGGCCCUGCGGCAGGCAUGCAGCUGCGUGCCCGAGGCCACUGCACCUGGCACCAAGUAGGGAAACCGAUGGGGGUCAGGAAUGUCCCAAGGGGCCAGACCAGGCAGCACCUUGUGGGCUCUAGCGAGGAUUUUGGUUUUACUCUGAGGGGGGAGCCAUGGAGCCCUGAUCUGCUCCAGACUCUAACAGGAUGCCUGCGGCCCCUGGCAGAGAAGGGACUGUGGGCUGGGACGGGGAAGGAAGCAGGGAGGCCAGGAGGGAGGUGAUGGCAGCAGAGCAGAGGGGAGCUGGCCGAGGCCCAGGAUGGUAGAGGUGGAGCUGGGGAGACUGCUCACUGUCCCCUCUCACCGCACAGCCUGCCCGCUCCCCAGCGACGCAGGACAGGCAAACCCAGGAGGUUCCAAACACACACACACUCACACACUCUCCAUACAGAUAGAUCCUGCACACACACACGCAUUCUACAUACACAGAGAUUUCACACCUGCAUUUCACACACAUAUUCAUAUAUUCUACAUACACACAGAUUUUAUACGUGUACACACAUAUGCACAUAUUUUAACAUUCAUAUAAAAUUUCCACAUAUAUACACAUAUAUGUUCUACACACUUGUAGACCCUUUCCAUUUAUUACAUAUAUAUUAAUGGAUAUAUAGAGAAUAUAUAUAUAGAAUACUGGAGUGGGCAGCCUUUCCUUUCUCCAGGGGAAUCUUCCCAACCCAGGGAUCAAACCCAGGUCUCCCGCACUGCAGGCAGGUUCUUUACCAGUCGAACCACCGUGAAAGCACAAGAAUACUGGAGUGAGUAGCCUAUCCCUUCUCCAGCAGAUUUUCCCAACCCAGGGAUCGAACCCAGGUCUCCUUCAUUACAGGUGGAUUCUUUACCAGCUGAGCUACCAGGGAAGCCCUGUGUUACACACACAUAGACCUUUUCCAUUUAUUAUAUGUGUGUGUGUGUCAAUAUAUCCUACGUACACAUACACUUUAUAUGUAUAUUACACACACAUACUUAGAGUUUAUACAUAUAAACACAUGUAUUCCAAGUGCAUAGAGACCCUUUUGUACAUUAUAUACAUGUGUGGACAUGUAUUCUACAUACAUGUAGUCUAUACAUAUCCACACAUGUAUUCCACAUGCAUAUAGUUCUAGAUACGUACUAUACACAGAGUGUCUACACAUAUAUUACCCACCCUCUACACACAUGUGGAUUCCAC